CCAAAAUGAACCGACUAUCUAGCCUUGGCCUUGCAUGCUUCCCAGCUAUUUUUAAAACAUGCGGUGGUAUCUUUGGUAUUUUCCAGCUGCAAAUAGCACUCUGACAACAGACCAAAUACAUAAGCAAGGCGAAGUUUGUUGCAAAUUUCAUCUUGACAUGAGCUGAACUGAGUUGGUUUUUGAAUUACAGGGGCUAACUUCUGGCAGGAUAGCAGUGUAGAUCAGUGGUAUGCUGCUGAAGUAGUCAAAAUGCGACUUUUGCAUUGCAGGAGGUUCAUGGAGCAAGGGUGACGGAUCAAACUGCUAGGUUCCUGAUGCAUUACUUGGCAGAUUGAUGUGUGGUUUGUGCCGCUUUCGAGUUUUAACUGAGGCCUGUAAGCACAAUGGUCAGUUCAGGAAUUUAACCGUUUUGAAAUGACUUUGGUGGGUCUUAGUAUGACGGUAACCGCACAUAUAUAAUCCUGUAUGAUAUUACUAAACACUUCCAAACUCCUUUGCUUUGUCAAUAAGACCAGCCCUUCCAAAGAAAUGGACCAUACAGGAAUAAUGCUCAAUCCUUGGAUUUAUUUGCAUAGACUUCUAUCAUUUUUCUGAAUAGCAAUUGUCCUUGUGCUACAAAACCAGAAUGAAUGCAAGCUAUUAAAACUGCUACCAUUGUUACAUGAUCUGGUUUAAUAUUAUUAUUCAACUGAUGUACAAUUUAUUUUGCUUGUUUGGAAACCAAAACCUGCAGGUUUGAGGCCUGUUUAGAUGCCGGCUAUCAAUGAGUGAAGGUCCUUCAUCUAAAGAGAUGCAAGUAACAACAACAAGCUAAAUCAUCCAUGGCUUAUCUUUUUGGAAAUGGAAGGUUAGAAGGAUCCUAUCAAAGUAAGUAACAUCGAGUGCUGCAGUGAGAGGUGAAAAGUCAUAAUGAGCAUUGACUUUAAGCAUCCAUUGAACAGUUUCACGACGAGGUUGAGAGAGAGAAACAAAAUCCACGGCCUUUUCUCAGAUCCUCGUAAUAUGUUUCUUGUUGUUUCUCAAGUAUUUGAUACAUAAACGAAAUCUGGAAA
rnacentral:lncRNA from 1 species